rnacentral:rRNA from 1 species
AUGCGCUGCGCUCUCCUCGUCGGACUCCGCCACCUCACCGGCAACUACACCACCGGCGCCGCCGCCUCCAAUGAACCUAGCUCCGAUGCCAUGUUGGGUGGAGGACACACUGUGGGGAAAUUUCCUGAAGCGUCGAUCACCUCAGAGGAUGCUCAGUACAAAAGGUUCAAGCUCAAAACAACAAAGGAUGAUGAUGUGGCAACUCAAGCCACCAAUAUAUCACAAUUACUCAGGACAAGAAACUUUCUCGUGUUGGUUGAUGACCUUUAUGAGAAGCUAGACCUUCUAGCAAUUGGCAUUCCAUAUCCUUUCGGAACUGUCGACCAAUUGAAGAGGAAAGUGGUAAUCACGUCCCAAUCAAAAAUUAUAUGUGACCAGAUGGGUGUGAAUGAAUAUAUAGAAGUGCCUGGUUUGGGUGAGACCGAAGCACUCAAGCUAUUUGCACAAACUGUUGGUCAGGAUAAUAAUCAUAUUGAUUCUGAUCCCAGCAUUAGGGCCCUGGCGCAUGAUCUUGUCAAGGAACUAAAAGGUGUGCCAUCAGAAUUGAUACAUUUUGGGAAGCCAAUGGCCGGAAGGAUUUUGAGAAAUCUCAAGGAUGCCACCAACAACUUGGUUGCAAGGAGCAAUGAUGUUCAUCGCAAGAUUGAGGCUGCCGAGCGUGAGUGCAUGACAUCCACGAAUGAGGUGAACAAGUGGUUGGAAGAGGUGGAUACCAUCAAUUCUGAUGUGGAGAUAAUCUUUGAGGGCAACAAAUUGAAAAAGGAUGUUAAUAUGGAAGCAAUCAAGAAGGUUACUGAGGUCCAAGAAUGUCUCAGAUCUUGUCCCAAUAAUAAUAUUGCAUUCGAGUCAGUGCCACCUCCUGCCCAAGAGAUACCGGGUCCAUCUAUGUCUGCACAGAAUCGUAACCUUACAGAGGCUCUCCAAUUCAUUAAUGAUGACCCUGUGGGGAUGAUUGGAAUAUGGGGUCCAGGUGGAGUUGGGAAAACGUAUCUUAUGAACAGUAUCAAUAACUCAAUAGCUGUUGCUGGAGGCAUAUCGUUUAAUGUUAUCUUUGUGACGGCCUCCAGGGGUUGUUCAGUGGAGAAGAUUCAAGGAGAUUUACUGCUGAAGCUCGGAAUGAAAGCAGAUGGUAAUGUGGAAUCUCAAAGCCAAAAAAUUUAUAAUUUCCUGAAAAACAGAAGCUUUCUAUUACUGUUGGAUGACCUUUGGGAUCAAAUUGAUCUGCAAGCAGUUGGCAUUCCAUAUCCUCUUGGAAUUCUGGGCCAAUUGAAGAGGAAAGUGGUAAUCACGUCGCAAUCAGAAAAUGUGUGUUAUCAAAUGGACGUAAAGGUGCCUAUAGAAGUUCCUCGUUUGGAAGAUGAUGAAGCCCUCCAGCUAUUUGAACAAAUGGUUGGUCGGGAAAAUCUUUAUGAGGAUCCCCACAUCAGGGCCCUUGCGAUAUAUCUUGUAAAAGAACUAAAAGGUCUUCCAUCAGAAUUGAUACGUAUUGGGAAGAUAUUUUGA